AGUAUACAUCUGAUAGCGCACUUAUACAAGAUGUACUCCUUCGUAAAAUUGGAUGGGGGUCUCCUCUAGUAGACAGUUUGCAGAUUUCCACAUGCACCUUAGCAGGGAUUUUCAAUGGUUUUGGUUUGUAUUCUGCCGUCGUCGAGGGACCAAGUCGUGCAAGGCUGUCGCUGCUCUCGCAUUGGGAACAAUGGGUCAAUAGCUUUAGAAAUGCAGCGAAACAGGAUUUAUUUCCCUGGGUAUGGCUGACAGCUCUGGUGGUGUAUAUUAUCUGAGUCCUUCCUCACCGUUGUACAACCUGUGGCUGGUUCCAGUCGGAGCAAGCCUCUUUUCUCUCCUCUACACAGUCUUUGUCAUGGCUCCUGAUAUUAAAGUUCUCUUGGAGAAGGACUUCAUCACGAAACUGGGUCAGAAGUGGGUGCUAGAAACCAUUGGACGUUUGAGGAAACGCCAUUACGUUCGCGUGGUGGUGAUUGGGCUGGCAUACUUGGUUUCUAUUUACGCAGCUGUCAAAUCGUAGACAUUCGUGAUCAGAUAUGUGUAACGACCUAUUCUUAAAUCUACUAUGUGCUUUUAAAGACAGAAUGUGUAACCUAAAUAUAUAUUAUAUAUGUCGUACAUUUUAUGUACUUGUUUUUGUAAUAGAUUUGUGCAACACAUGACAUAUCUUGUCAUUUACAAAGUGCUUGGAAGUGUAUUUUUUGUUGUUCAUCCACAUCAUGACAGAUAGAUAAAUCAGAGAACAUAUCAGGAAUUGAAUAAAUCUGAUUGGUGAAGGUUAAAUCUUUCUAAUUUAACUUUCACCAAUCAUGUAUUCACUGAAACCAACGGACACCAGUACCAUGUUUAAAUAAAAAAAUGAAAGGAAACAAA